rnacentral:rRNA from 1 species
GUGUCAGCCGCCGCGGUAAUACAGAGGGGGCAAGCGUUGUUCGGAAUUACUGGGCGUAAAGGGCGCGUAGGCGGCCCUCUAGGUCAUACGUGAAAUCCCCGGGCUCAACCCGGGAACUGCGUCUGAUACUGGAGGGCUUGAAUCCGGGAGAGGGAUGCGGAAUUCCAGGUGUAGCGGUGAAAUGCGUAGAUAUCUGGAGGAACACCGGUGGCGAAGGCGGCAUCCUGGACCGGUAUUGACGCUGAGGCGCGAAAGCCAGGGGAGCAAACGGGAUUAGAUACCCCGGUAGUCCUGGCCCUAAACGAUGAAUGCUUGGUGUGGCGGGUAUCGAUCCCUGCCGUGCCGAAGCUAACGCAUUAAGCAUUCCGCCUGGGGAGUACGGUCGCAAGGCUGAAACUUAAAUGAAUUGGCGGGG